rnacentral:rRNA from 1 species
UGGGGAAUAUUGCACAAUGGAGGGAACUCUGAUGCAGCGACGCCGUGUGAACGUAGAAGGCUUUCGAGUCGUAAAGUUCUUUUAUAUGGGAAGAUAAUGACGGUACCAUAAGAAAAAGCCCCGGCUAACUACGUGCCAGCAGCCGCGGUAAUACGUAGGGGGCUAGCGUAGUCCGGAAUCACUGGGCGUAAAGGGUUCGCAGGCGGAAAUGCAAGUCUGGCGUAAAAGGCAGUAGCUUAACUACUGUAAGCAUUUAAACUGCAUAUCUUGAGAAGAGUAGAGGUAAGUGGAAUUUUUAGUGUAGCGGUGAAAUGCGUAGAUAUUAAAAAUAAUACCGGUGGCGAAGGGGACGUACUGGGCUCAUUCUGACGCUGAGGAACGAAAGCGUGGGUAGCACACAGG